GUCUUACUUGGAGGUUGUGGCCUUGAGCCGUGGCUUUUCGGAGGCUAACGCGUUAAGUAGACCGCCUGGGGAGUACGGUCGCAAGAUUAAAACUCAAAUGAAUUGACGGGGGCCCGCACAAGCGGUGGAGCACGUGGUUUAAUUCGAUGCAACGCGAAGAACCUUACCUACUCUUGACAUCUACAGAAGCCAGCGGAGACGCAGGUGUGCCUUCGGGAACUGUAAGACAGGUGCUGCAUGGCUGUCGUCAGCUCGUGUUGUGAAAUGUUGGGUUAAGUCCCGCAACGAGCGCAACCCUUAUCCUUGUUUGCCAGCACUUCGGGUGGGAACUCCAGGGAGACUGCCGGUGAUAAACCGGGGGAAGGUGGGGACGACGUCAAGUCAUCAUGGCCCUUACGAGUAGGGCUACACACGUGCUACAAUGGCGCAUACAGAGGGCGGCCAACUUGCGAAAGUGAGCGAAUCCCAAAAAGUGCGUCGUAGUCCGGAUUGGAGUCUGCAACUCGACUCCAUGAAGUCGGAAUCGCUAGUAAUCGUGGAUCAGAAUGCCACGGUGAAUACGUUCCCGGGCCUUGUACACACCGCCCGUCACACCAUGGGAGUGGGCUGCAAAAGAAGUGGGUAGUUUAACCUUCGGGAGGACGCUCACCACUUUGUGGUUCAUGACUGGGGUGAAGUCGUAACAAGGUAACCG
rnacentral:rRNA from 1 species